AACUCAGCAGUCAUGAGAGUUUCUGUGUGAUGUGUUCUGCGUGACUCUACUGGGUGUUGUGAGAGGAGGUUAGUCAAGCUCAGAACUCCAAACAUGGAUUUAGUCACCUAUGAUGACGUGCAUGUGAACUUCACUCAGGAAGAGUGGGCUUUGCUGGAUGCUUCUCAGAAGAGUCUCUACAAAGGUGUGAUGGUAGAGACCUAUAGGAAUCUCACAGCUAUAG
rnacentral:lncRNA from 1 species